GUUUUAUAAAAGAGAGUGCAGAGCAGUAGGCAGUGGUAGAAGCUGAGUCGGGGUCUGAGUGCUCCAGUGCACUGACUGUCUGACAUACAGAGUCUUGCUAAGUUAUCCUGGCUGGCCUCAAACUUGUGAUCUUCUCUCAGCCUUCCAGAUAGCUUGGAUUCCAGCAACAUUGACAUUCUACACCAAAAGAUUCUCUGAAUCCAGGCAAUAAUCCAGCCAAACUCUCAAUAAUGACAACAAAACAUCCAAGGAGGUCCUGAGUCUCGCAGAAGACACCGAAACACCCUGCUGCAGACAGGCAGCCACCUGGUUCCACACUACAAAGACACAGAGGACACCAGACCACCA
rnacentral:lncRNA from 1 species